rnacentral:rRNA from 1 species
AGCGAACGUUUGCGGCGGGCCUAACACAUGCAAGUCGAACGAUAACCCAGCUUGCUGGGGGAAAGUGGCGCACGGGUGCGUAACACGUGGGUAAUCAACCCUUUGGAUCGGGACAACCCGGGGAAACUCGGGCUAAUACCGGAUAAGUCGUGGGAGUCUUCGGGCACCCACGGGAAAGGCCCGCAAGGGCUACCAUUGGACGAGCUCGCGGCCCAUCAGCUUGUUGGUGAGGUAAUGGCUCACCAAGGCUAAGACGGGUAGCUGGUCUGAGAGGAUGAUCAGCCACACUGGAACUGAGACACGGUCCAGACUCCUACGGGAGGCAGCAGUGGGGAAUAUUGCGCAAUGGGCGAAAGCCUGACGCAGCCACGCCGCGUGAGCGAUGAAGGCCUCGGUCGUAAGACUCUGU